AGAUUGUUCUGAGUUUGAUGAAGUUGAUCCAGCUGGAAGAUAUGGAAGAGUAGAACUCCUCCUUUCUUUCUUUCUUUUUUUUUUAUUAGUUUGAUUCUUUGAUCCUACUUUUUUUGUUCUUUUUUGUUUCAGUAGAAUGAAAUCCUUGGAAAAGGAGCUUCAAAGAUAGUGUAUGAAUGAGAAUGAUGAUAACUCCAAUCUAAUACUUUUUUUGCUCAUUUAUUUUAAUACCCAGAUUUUUUUUUCUUCUUGUUUUAAUGUGUG
rnacentral:lncRNA from 1 species